rnacentral:rRNA from 1 species
GUGAGGAAUAUUGGUCAAUGGACGCAAGUCUGAACCAGCCAAGUAGCGUGCAGGAUGACGGCCCUCCGGGUUGUAAACUGCUUUUAGUUGGGAAUAAAAGGGGGCUCGUGAGCCCCGUAUUGUAUGUACCAUCAGAAAAAGGACCGGCUAAUUCCGUGCCAGCAGCCGCGGUAAUACGGAAGGUCCGGGCUUUAUCCGGAUUUAUUGGGUUUAAAGGGAGCGUAGGCCGGCUUUUAAGUCAGCUGUGAAAGUCCGCGGCUCAACCGUGGAAUUGCAGUUGAAACUGGAGGCCUUGAGUGCACACAGGGAUGCCGGAAUUCAUGGUGUAGCGGUGAAAUGCUUAGAUAUCAUGAAGAACUCCGAUCGCGAAGGCAAGUGUCCGGGGUGCAACUGACGCUGAGGCUCGAAAGUGCGGGUAUCAAACAGGAUUAGAAACCCCGGUAGUCC